ACGAACGCUGGCGGCGUGCUUAACACAUGCCAGUCGAGCGGAAAGGCCCUUCGGGGUACUCGAGCGGCGAACGGGUGAGUAACACGUGAGUAACCUGCCCCAGACUUUGGGAUAACCCUCGGAAACGGGGGCUAAUACCGGAUACGACACAGCUUCGCAUGGGGUCUGUGUGGAAAGUUUUUCGGUUUGGGAUGGGCUCGCGGCCUAUCAGCUUGUUGGUGGGGUGAUGGCCUACCAAGGCGACGACGGGUAGCCGGCCUGAGAGGGCGACCGGCCACACUGGGACUGAGACACGGCCCAGACUCCUACGGGAGGCAGCAGUGGGGAAUAUUGCACAAUGGGCGGAAGCCUGAUGCAGCGACGCAGCGUGAGGGAUGACGGCCUUCGGGUUGUAAACCUCUUUCAGCAGGGACGAAGCGUAAGUGACGGUACCUGCAGAAGAAGCGCCGGCCAACUACGUG
rnacentral:rRNA from 1 species